rnacentral:sRNA from 1 species
UAGCAGGUAAAAUACGACAAGCAUCCGA